GACGAACGCUGGCGGCGUGCUUAACACAUGCAAGUCGAACGGAAAGGCCCUGCUUUUGUGGGGUGCUCGAGUGGCGAACGGGUGAGUAACACGUGAGUAACCUGCCCUUGACUUUGGGAUAACUUCAGGAAACUGGGGCUAAUACCCGAUAGGAGCUCCUGCUGCAUGGUGGGGGUUGGAAAGUUUCGGCGGUUGGGGAUGGACUCGCGGCUUAUCAGCUUGUUGGUGGGGUAGUGGCUUACCAAGGCUUUGACGGGUAGCCGGCCUGAGAGGGUGACCGGGCACGUUGGGACUGAGAUACGGCCCAGAGUGCUACGGGAGGCAGCAGUGGGGAAUAUUGCACAAUGGGCGGAAGCCUGAUGCAGCAACGCCGCGUGCGGGAUGACGGCCUUCGGGUUGUAAACCGCUUUCGCCUGUGACGAAGCGUGAGUGACGGUAAUGGGUAAAGAAGCACCGGCUAGCUACGUG
rnacentral:rRNA from 1 species